rnacentral:miRNA from 1 species
CGGGGUGUGGGGAGGGCC